UACAGGGGGUGCAAACGUUGCUCGGAAUUAUUGGGCGUAAAGCGCGCGUAGGCGGCUACUUAAGUCGGAUGUGAAAGCCCCUGGCUCAACUGGGGAAUUGCAUUUGAGACUGUGUAGCUAGGGUGCGGAAGAGGGAAGCGGAAUUUCCGGUGUAGCGGUGAAAUGCGUAGAUAUCGGAAGGAACACCAGUGGCGAAAGCGGCUUCCUGGUCCAGCACCGACGUUCAGGCACGAAAGCGUGGGGAGCAAACAGG
rnacentral:rRNA from 1 species